ACUCGGGGCUGUCCGCAAUACGUAGAGUGUGAGCGUUGUGCCAUUAGUGCUCAGUUGAAAGGCCCAUCACUAGCUAAAUUUUGCUUCCCUUCAGGCUCACUAAGUUGUUAGUCUCUUUCUGUCCAUCUCCGUAGUGUGUUGCUGGCAGUGUUGCAAAUCCCAGUGUUUCAAUGACGAGCUAAACUUCUGCUGUCCGACCAAAUUACAGUUUCUUGUCCUCACUUUAAUAGAACAAAGUACAGAUAAAAGGAAAACAUAUGAAAAAGUUGUGCUAAUUCUCGAAUGCGUCCACGGUUUUAUUGACGUCACUCAAGAACGUAUAAUUAAAAUAAAACAUAAAAAAAACUUCAAAAUGAUGGACGAAAUUCUCACAUUAAAGAACUGGAUACUCUUCCUCUCCACAUAUUUCGGUCUGAUUUUUCUACUGUUCUGUGGCAUAUGUAUAAAAGAUUUGUUUACCUUAUUAUUCGAAGGCACCAGAAACUAUGUGGAUUUACCAACGCGACGUAGUUGGUUACAUGAGCAAACGCAAAAAACUGAAUUGUACAGGCAAAGGCCGCUCCCAAGACUAGAAACAGAAGACUAAAUUAGUUCUAAGCACAGGCUUUUUGUAAGGGCAAGGGUUUGGCAUUGUCAAUAAAAUAAUUUUAAUAAUAA